UCAAGCUGUCUCUCAGCCUCUGUAACCAUGAGCACUCUUUUCCCACAGACAUAUGCAAAGAUGAUGUGGUAAAAACUCUGAAAUACUGUUCAGCUUCUCUACUGACAAGCAAUCUAAGAUGGCUACCUGAAAGCACGGAAUGCUCCGGCCGACGGCCCUGCAGCAAGGGGUUUGCUGAAACCCUUGGCCCAGGGAGGCAGUGUCUGAAUCUGGGUUUGUGUUAGACCUACGUUCAGAUUAAGGCUUGGGAUUUGAAAGCAGCAAAAUGUGAGCAAAUGAUCCAAAGAUUUGAAGCCAAAAUAGUAAACAUGACCUCAUAAAGUGUUUCUGUUUUCUGU